UACAGAGGGGGCAAGCGUUGUUCGGAAUUACUGGGAGUAAAGGGCGCGUAGGCGGCCCGCUAAGUCGAACGUGAAAUCCCUGGGCUCAACCCAGGAACUGCGUCCGAUACUGGCGGGCUUGAAUCCGGGAGAGGGAUGUGGAAUUCCAGGUGUAGCGGUGAAAUGCGUAGAGAUGUGGAGGAAUACCGAUGGCGAAGGCAGCCUCCUGGGCCAACACUGACGCUCAUGCACGAAAGCGUGGGGAGCAAACAGG
rnacentral:rRNA from 1 species